rnacentral:rRNA from 1 species
UACGUAGGGUGCAAGCGUUGUCCGGAAUUAUUGGGCGUGAAGAGCUCGUAGGCGGUUUGUCGCGUCGAAUGUGAAAACCCGGGGCUCAACCCCGGGCCUGCAUUCGAUACGGGCAGACUAGAGUUCGGUAGGGGAGUCUGGAAUUCCUGGUGUAGCGGUGAAAUGCGCAGAUAUCAGGAGGAACACCGGUGGCGAAGGCGGGACUCUGGGCCGAUACUGACGCUGAGGAGCGAAAGCGUGGGGAGCAAACAGG